GCGUGUGUUCUCUUACACUAAAUGACCAAAGUAGCCCAUCAGGAUGUUGUAUCACAGUACAUCAGUUCAGAUAAUGCACCCUGUACUUGGCUCAUGACAUAGCUGAGGACUGAUUUUGAAGAUAUGCCCAUAAAUCUGUUAGAUUACCCCCAUGCACACACACACACACACACACACACACAGAUGGAUACACACAGAUGCAGAUAUUCCUUGCAUGCACAUCUCUGUCAGACCUCACAAAUCGACACAUAUUUAUGCAAAAUGGACACAUGUAGCAGUUAUAAAUUUCAAGUUUCCCUAUUUGCUCUUUUCUCAAAUUCUCACCUUGUUUUUUCAGGUUAAUGCACAGUACAAUUUUUACCACCAAUUUCACACACAUGACUUGACCGAAAUUCUGACCUUUUGUUAGAGCAUGGGCCACUCAGAACGGUCUUGCGACCCACCAGCUGAGAAAUACAACAGCCAAUUUUGUUGUCUGGACGGCAGUUUUGGAAAGAUGCUGUACAAUCUCAAGUCAGAGCAAACAGCUGCUUUAUCCCAGAGGCAGUGUCCUCCUCCCAGACUAACAUUAAACAUAGUCUUUACCUUCCUGAUUCCAGAGAGCAUCUGUGCCUCUUCCUGAAAGAGAAGUCUGGUUACAGCUGUCUGCCGAGAGGUGGGACGUCGUCAGGGAAACCGCUUCAUUAGGGGUGUAAUUAACAUCUGUGCUAGACAAUGGAUGCCAUGGUGAUAGACUCACUUUCUGUGUUCUAAGGGAUGAUGUUAUGCAGGUAAUAUCAUGAGUUCGCAUUAUGCUUUUACAUCAUAGUCAUGGUCUAAUACUACAUUAGAUAAUUACAGAAAAUGGGAUCAAAAACAAGGCGGUGAAGGAUGUAAUCACAGUUGAUUCAAUAUAUUUUUACAUUUUUAUAUUUUUUAUGUACAUGUACAAACAAACCAUUGAACCGUUGAUACCUUAUACCUUAAAUACAAUGCAGGUUGUUCUGGUUAAAACAGUCUGCAUGACUUUCUUUUUUCUUUUCUUUUUUCACCUGUGGAACACAAAAGGAGAUCAUUUGAAAAAC